rnacentral:lncRNA from 10 species
CUGGACCCGCGCCCCUCGCCAGCCGCCGGGCCGGCUUGAUUACUGCCCUCCCCGGCCCGACCGCGGGCACCUGAACGCCGACAGCAGAGCACGGCGACCUCUGGGGCUAGCGCGCAAGGUCAGACCAGGUCCAGGGCUUCCCUGCCCUCUGCGGGGACCCUGGAGCACCGACAGCCCCACCUCCCCACCUCCAAGCCCCACUCCCAUCUCCCACCAGGGGCAAGAAGGUGGAGGGAGGCCAGCGGACACAACCCGAGGACCCAGGCGGCCUGCGCCUCCGCGCCAAGCCUGGGGGUGGCCGAUGGCAAGGGAGGCCCGGAGUAACCCAGCCAGUGAGGGCCAGGCUGCAGCUAACACUGAUCCUGCUUCUGGGGCCGACACAGGCCUGGUCUGUGAUGGUGGGACUUACCAGAGCUUAGUGGAAAGAAAAUCCCUGAGUCUGGGGCUUCAGGAGUCUCAGGCUGGGGAGGGACUCUGGUAGCACCCAUGAGGGGACACGUGGUUGUGCCCCAGGGAGGCCAGCCACCUGCUCUCCACUUGCCCUUGGAUAGAAAAGGGAGGUGGAUUUAACCUGCUCCAGGAGACAUGACUUUUAUUUUUAAGACUUUUUAAAAUUGAAGUUAAGCACACACACAGAACACUGCACAAAUCAAAGUGUACAACUGAAAGAAUUUGCACAUGCUUUGCAUACCUGUGCAACCAGCACCCAAAUUAAAAAACAGCACCUCACCGGCACCCAGAAGCCCCUCGAGACCCCUUCCACCUACUGUUCCCGAGUCCAGCCUCUCUCCUGACUCAGCCCGCAGGCGCUCUGGCCUGCUUCUGAACUGUGUGUAGAUGGAGCCAUACAGUGGGUGCCGUUUUGCGUCUGGUUUCUUUUGCUGCAUAUUAUGUUUGUGAGGUUUGUCAGUACUCUCACAGGCAGUCAAGGGCUGUUCGUACCCAUUGCUGGUGGCUUGCCAUUGUGUGGCUCUGUUAAAAUGUAUUCACCCAUGUUACUGCUAAUGGACAUUUGGGGAGGUUCCAGUUCCUGGCUAUGGUGAAUAGUGCCACUAUGAACAUUCUAGUUCCUGUGUAUUGUGAACAUAUGAAUGCAUUUCUGUUGGGUGAAUACCCAGGGCAGGGAUGACGGGGCCCGGCUGUGUGUCUGCUCAGCUUUGGAAGAUACAGGAAUGUUA